GGGGCAUUAGCGCAGUUGGUAGCGCGUUUGAAUGGCAUUCAAAAGGUCAGGGGUUCGACUCCCCUAUGCUCCACCA
rnacentral:tRNA from 5 species